rnacentral:ncRNA from 16 species
UGAAUAUUUACGGAAAUUGGUUUCACUUAACUGUGAAUUAAAAGGGAAUCAGGUGAAAAUCCUGAACAGUCCCGCUGCUGUGAGAAAAAAGCCGUUUUGAAUUAUGUCACUGACUUUUGUUGGGAAGACUCAAAACUGCGUUGAUGUUAUAAUCUGAAUUUUCAAGUCAGAAGACCUGCCAAUAUAUAUUCCGUGUCC